GACGAACCGUGCGAACGUUGUUCGGAAUCACUGGGCGUAAAGGGCGCGUAGGCGGCUUUAUAAGUCGGGGGUGAAAGCCUGUGGCUCAACCACAGAAUUGCCUUCGAUACUGUAGAGCUUGAGACCGGAAGAGGUAAGUGGAACUGCGAGUGUAGAGGUGAAAUUCGUAGAUAUUCGCAAGAACACCAGUGGCGAAGGCGGCUUACUGGUCCGGUUCUGACGCUGAGGCGCGAAAGCGUGGGUAGCAAACAGG
rnacentral:rRNA from 1 species